UGACAGAAGGUGUAAUCCCGGAGGAAA
rnacentral:piRNA from 1 species